GAUGAACGCUGGCGGCGUGCCUAAUACAUGCAAGUCGAACGAGUCCUUCGGGCCUAGUGGCGAACGGGUGAGUAACACGUUGGUACCUACCCUCUAGUGGGGAAUAACUGGCCGAAAGGUCGGCUAAUACCGCAUAAUACCGCAAGGUUAAAGCAGCAAUGCGCUAGAGGAGGGGCCUGCGGACCAUUAGCUUGUUGGUAGUGUAAUGGACUACCAAGGCGACGAUGGGUAGCUGGAUCGAGAGGUUGACCAGCCACACUGGGACUGAGAUACGGCCCAGACUCCUACGGGAGGCAGCAGUAAGGAAUCUUCCACAAUGGACGAAAGUCUGAUGCAGCAACGCCGCGUGCAGGAUGACGGCCUUCGGGUUGUAAACUGCUUUUAUAUGGGAAGAUUAUGACGGUACCAUAUGAAUAAGGACCGGCUAACUACGUGCCAGCCGCCGCGGUAA
rnacentral:rRNA from 1 species